rnacentral:rRNA from 1 species
UACGGAGGAUGCGAGCGUUGUCCGGAAUUACUGGGCGUAAAGAGCUCGUAGGUGGUUUGUCACGUCGUCUGUGAAAUUCCGGGGCUUAACUUCGGGCGUGCAGGCGAUACGGGCAAUACUUGAGUGCUGUAGGGGAGACUGGAAUUCCUGGUGUAGCGGUGAAAUGCGCAGAUAUCAGGAGGAACACCAAUGGCGAAGGCAGGUCUCUGGGCCACUACUGACGCUGAGAAGCGAAAGCAUGGGUAGCGAACAGGAUUA